rnacentral:tRNA from 1 species
GCGCUCUUAGUUCAGUUCGGUAGAACGCGGGUCUCCAAAACCCGAUGUUGUAGGUUCAAGUCCUAUAGAGCGUG